GCCCGGGUGGUGGAAUAGGUAGACACGCAGGACUUAAAAUCCUGUGGCCCCAAAGGCUGUGCGGGUUCGAUUCCCGCCCCGGGUA
rnacentral:tRNA from 1 species